AUGCAAAGAUGUUUUAUUUUCAGGAACAAAAGCACAUUUUCUCAAGACUCUUUCUCUGACUGGUUCCCUUUUGAAGAUGGUGUACGACUCCACGUUGACUCUCCCCAGAGAGCUGCAGAACCAUCGUCUCCAUCUUGGUCUCCAUGGUCGCCAGCAUCGCCGGGAUGGGGGGAAAGUGCAACAGCUGCUCGGCGCGAGGGUUCCGGAACCAAGGCCCAGGUUGCCACGGCAGCUGGGGUUCUGUUCCCGAUUUGCCGGGGUGCUGAGUCUGGUGUCUCUCAGCUGGACAGCUCCGUGUCAUCACUGACUUCUAUAAUCCUCUGGAACACCAGGGAUUAAAGAGCUGGGUGCGGCCAUCUUUAUCUGCCGGGGAGGGGGAGCUCUCAUGGCCAGGGGGUCUCCUGGUGUUCUCGUGCCCACAGAGGGAUGGCCCUGGAUGGGAUAAGGGUUGGUAUAAUAAACCACCACUAACCCUGCCCGCAGCCAUGGCACGUCUCAUGUCUGAUCUGCCCGACCAGAGGAGGACCCUAUUCCCUAUGUAGUGCCCGACAUGUUCCCUAGGAUGGUAUUUGGAAACAUUUCCCUAUGUAGAGACCAGGGUCCUAUUCCCUAUAUAGUGCACUACUUUAGACCAGUGUCCUAUUCCCUAUAUAGUGCACUACUUUAGACCAGAACCCUAUUCCUUAAAUAGUGCACUACUUUAGACCAAGGUCCUAUUCCCUAUAUAGUGCACUACUUUAGACCAGAGCCAUGUAGAACCCUAUUCCUUAAAUAGUGCACUACUUUAGACCAGGGCCCUAUUCCUUAAAUAGUGCACUACUUUAGACCAGAACCCUAUUCCCUAUAUAGUGCACCACUUUAUACGAGGGCCCUAUAGAACCCUAUAUAUAGUGCACUACUUUAGACCAGAGCCCUGUAGAACCCUAUUCCCUAUAUAGUGCACUACUUUAGACCAGAGCCCUAUAGAACCCUAUAUAUAGUGCACUACUUUAGACCAGGGCCCUAUAGAACCCUAUUCCCUAUAUAGUGCACUAUAGACCAGGGUCCUAUUCCAUAUAUAGUGCACUAUAGACCAGGGUCCUAUUCCAUAUAUAGUGCACUACUUUAGACCAGGGCCCUAUAGAACCCUAUUCCCUAUAUAGUGCACUAUAGACCAGGGUCCUAUUCCAUAUAUAGUGCACUACUUUAGACCAGGGCCCUAUAGAACCCUAUUCCCUAUAUAGUGCACUUUAGACCAGGGUCCUAUAGAACCCUAUUCCCUAUAUAGUGCACUUUAGACCAGGGCCCUAUAGAACCCUAUUCCCUAUAUAGUGCACUUUAGACCAGGGCCCUAUAGAACCCUAUUCCCUAUAUAGUGCACUUUAGACCAGGGCCCUAUAGAACCCUAUUCCCUAUAUAGUGCACUUUAGACCAGGGCCCUAUAGAACCCUAUUCCCUAUAUAGUGCACUUUAGACCAGGGUCCUAUAGAACCCUAUUCCCUAUAUAGUGCACUUUAGACCAGGGCCCUAUAGAACCCUAUUCCCUAUAUAGUGCACUUUAGACCAGGGCCCUAUAGAACCCUAUUCCCUAUAUAGUGCACUUUAGACCAGGGUCCUAUAGAACCCUAUUCCCUAUAUAGUGUACUAUAGACCAGGGUCCUAUUCCAUAUAUAGUGCACUAUAGACCAGGGUCCUAUUCCAUAUAUACAGUGGCUUGCGAAGGUAUUCACCCCCCCCCCCCCCCCCUUUCACAUUUUUCCUUUUUUUUUUGCUUGACAACCUGGAAUUAAAAUAAAAAAAUUGGGGGGGUGUUGUAUCACUUGAUUCACACAACAUGCCUACCACUUUGAAGAUGCAAAAUAUUUUGGGGGGUGAAACAAGACACGAACUUGACCGUGCAUAACUAUUCACCCCCCCCCCCCCCCCCCCCCCCCCCCCACACACACACAUAGUCAAUAGCUUGUAGAGCCACCUUUUGCAGCAAUUACAGCUGCAAGUCUCUUGGGAUAUGUCUCUAAAAGCUUGGCACAUCUAGCCACUGGGAUUUUUUUUGCCCAUUCUUCAAGGCAAAACUGCGCCAGCUCCUUCAAGUUGGACUGGUUCUGCUGGUGUACAGCAAUAUUGAAGUCAUACCACAGAUUUUCAUUUGGUUUGUCUGGGCUUUGACUAGGCCAUUCCAAGACAUUUAAAUGUUUCACCUUAAACCACUCAAGUGUUGCUUUAGCAGUAUGCUUAGGGUCAUUGUCCUGCUGGAAGGUGAACCUCCGCCCCAGUCUCAAAUCUCUGGAAGACUGAAACAGGUUUCCCUCAAAUGUUCCUGUAUUUAGCCCCAUCCAUCAUUCCUUCAAUUUUGACCUGUUUCCCUGCCGAUGAAAAACAUCCCCACAGCAUGAUGUUGCCACCACCAUGCUUCAUAUAGUACACUACUUUAGACCAGGGCCCUAUUCCCUAUAUAGUACACUGCUUUAGACCAGGGCCCUAUUCCCUAUAUAGUACACUACUUUAGACCAGGGCCCUAUUCCCUAUAUGGUACACUGCUUUAGACCAGAGCCCUAUUCCCUAUAUAGUACACUGCUUUAGACCAGGGCCCUAUUCCCUAUAUAGUACACUGCUUUAGACCAGGGCCCUAUUCCAUAUAUAGUACACUGCUUUAGACCAGGGCCCUAUUCCCUAUAUAGUACACUGCUUUAGACCAGGGCCCUAUAUAGUACACUACUUUAGACCAGGGCCCUAUUCCCUAUAUAGUACACUACUUUAGACCAGGGCCCUAAUCCCUAUAUAGUACACUGCUUUAGACCAGGGCCCUAUAUAGUACACUACUUUAGACCAGGGCCCUAUUCCCUAUAUAGUACACUGCUUUAGACCAGGGCCCUAUAUAGUACACUACUUUAGACCAGGGCCCUAUUCCCUAUAUAGUACACUGCUUUAGACCAGGGCCCUAUUCCCUAUAUAGUACACUGCUUUAGACCAGGGCCCUAUUCCCUAUAUAGUGCACUACUUUAGACCAGGGCCAUAUUCCCUAUAUAGUACACUGCUUUAGACCAGGGCCCUAUUCCCUAUAUAGUACACUGCUUUAGACCAGGGCCCUAUUCCCUAUAUAGUACACUGCUUUAGACCAGGGCCCUAUAUAGUACACUACUUUAGACCAGGGCCCUGUAUAGUACACUACUUUAGACCAGGGCCCUCUAUAGUACACUGCUUUAGACCAGGGCCCUCUAUAGUACACUGCUUUAGACCAGGGCCCUCUAUAGUACACUGCUUUAGACCAGGGCCCUCUAUAGUACACUGCUUUAGACCAGGGCCCUCUAUAGUACACUGCUUUAGACCAGGGCCCUCUAUAGUACACUGCUUUAGACCAGGGCCCUAUUCCCUAUAUAGUACACUGCUUUAGACCAGAGCCCUAUUCCCUAUAUAGUACACUGCUUUAGACCAGGGCCCUCUAUAGUACACUGCUUUAGACCAGAGCCCUAUUCCCUAUAUAGUACACUGCUUUAGACCAGGGCCCUAUUCCCUAUAUAGUACACUGCUUUAGACCAGGGGCUACUGACAGCUAUCUGUUUCAGACUGAAGAUCUGAUGAAGUGCCUUGUAUAUCUGAUGAAAUAAAGGUAUUUUUAUUUAUUUACACUUUCUCAAAACGAGAGGAUAGCAGAAAAACAAAGAUAAAGUCUAUGACUGUUGGGCCGGAACAAAUCCCUGCAGGAGCGUAGCUCCCCAGGACAAGAGUUGGCCACCACAUCACAGCUCUAACAUAUCAGGGCCGUGUUCACAAAGCGUCUCAGAACAGGAGUGCUGAUCUAGCAUCAGUUUUGGCUGUAGGUUAUAAUGGAUAAGAGGGACCUGAUCCUAGAUCAGCACUACUACUGGUCAUAAUGACUAAGAGGGGACCUGAUCUUAGAUCAUAAUGAAUAAGAGGGGACCUGAUCCUAGAUCAUAAUGAAUAAGAGGGGACCUGAUCCUAGAUCAUAGUUUAUAAGAGGGGACCUGAUCCUAGAUCAUAAUGAAUAAGAGGGGACCUGAUCCUAGAUCAUAAUGAAUAAGAGGGGACCUGAUCCUAGAUCAUAGUUUAUAAGAGGGGACCUGAUCCUAGAUCAUAAUGAAUAAGAGGGGACCUGAUCCUAGAUCAUAAUGAAUAAGAGGGGACCUGAUCCUAGAUCAUAAUGAAUAAGAGGGGACCUGAUCCUAGAUCAUAAUGAAUAAGAGGGGACCUGAUCCUAGAUCAUAAUGAAUAAGAGGGGACCUGAUCCUAGAUCAUAAUGAAUAAGAGGGGACCUGAUCCUAGAUCAUAAUGAAUAAGAGGGGACCUGAUCAUAAUGAAUAAGAG
rnacentral:lncRNA from 1 species